UGAUUAGAUUAGUAAUUCCAUACUAAAAAUUCAUUCUUACUCUUCACUCCAUAGAAUGGAAAAGGUGAACUCCCUUUAUUUGAUAUCACAUACAAUCUCUUUCAGCUUUGUUCCGAUGAAAGGCAAUGGCAAUUGUGCUGCCAACGUCAAAAUAUGCUUUGGGUAAUAUAAUCCCUUCAUAACAGUUUCAUUUUAUACCCACCUAGAAUUUCAAUCAUUUAUCUUCGAUUCAAAAAAAUAUAUAUAUAUUUUUUAAAGAGAAAUGAUAUUAUAUUAAAAAAUAUAUGAUACUUUAUAAAUUAAUUUUAAAAGAGAGUGAUUUCCAAUGAUCCAUAGAUUAAUUAUACACAAAAGAAUAAUUUGUUUUAUAGAUGUGGAGAACAUCGACAUUAAUAAUGUUAUAGUAGAAAAAAUAAAUAGUUGUAUUUAAAUUUAUUAAUAAACUAUUAAAAGGAGUAAUCUGAAUGUUUGCAUUAUUGAUGGUUUUAUAUUUAAAAAGCUUACUUUCUAACAUAGUUGUAUCACAAAAUCCCAUCCAACUCAUAUCGCAUAGUCCACAUCCAUGCUCUACUAGUGAGUGACCUUUAACUUUAUCCUUGCUUUAUUUGGUUUUACUUCCCCACUUCAUCCAUCUUUUCUUUUUUAUUUUCCCAAUAGAUAGACGACAUGUUCAUUUAAAAAGAAAAACUACUUGGAUUUUUAGGUGUUCAUUUUUUCUAAUUGUAGAUUAUAUGUUUACGUGUUUAUUUAAAUCUUACUGACAGUUGGCAAUUAAAGGCUUUUGCGCCCGACAUAUUUGAAAGCUGGAUACGUUUCAGCCUUAUACUUGUGCCACAAAAGUACCAACUGGACCGUAUCUAGAGCUAUAAAGGUUUGAAGCGAGUUGUACCCAAAAUACAUAUCUUUAAAAAAUAGAAAUUACAGAUAGCGAUUCUCUGUAAAUCCCAACUUUAAUUAAUAGGAGAGAUUUAGUUAUUCUGCAUAAAGUUGCCCACCACGAAAUUUUAUAGAUGAUUGUCGCAUGACACGGGCUUCAUGUUUCGCGUCCUAUAAGCCAGCUGAUUCAAACCUAAACAAAGCAGGAGCUUAGAAUUCGACACCCACCAUACUAAGCUUGCAGCAGAUGACUAAUAGCCCUAACAACCAUCUUAAAACCACCACCUAUGGUUAGGAAAUGCAUUCCAUCGACUAUGUGAUUGCAUCU
rnacentral:lncRNA from 1 species